rnacentral:rRNA from 1 species
AUUGAACGCUAGCGGGAUGCUUUACACAUGCAAGUCGAACGGAGUGGCGGACGGGUGAGUAAUAUAUCGGCACCCGCCCCUUAGCGGGGGAUAACUACUUGGAAGCGUGGCUUAUUCCGUCUUCUCUUUGUGUAGCCUAUAUCGGAUUAGAUAGUUGGGGGGGUAAAGGCUCACCAAGGCAACGAUCCGUCGCUGGUUUGAGAGUACGACCAGCCACACGGGGACUGAGACACGGCCCAGACUCCUACGGGAGGCAGCAGUGGGGAAUUUUGGACAAUGGGGGAAACCCUGAUCCAGCCAUCCCGGGUGUAGGAUGAAGGCCUUCGGGUUGUAAAGUACGUUUGGCAGGGAAGCGGUAUCUGCAGAAUAAGCACCGGCUAACUACGUGCCAGCAGCCGCGGUAAUAC